rnacentral:rRNA from 1 species
CCUACGGGUGACAGCAGUGAGGAAUAUUGGUCAAUGGACGAGAGUCUGAACCAGCCAUGUAGCGUGAAGGAUGACGGCUCUAUGGGUUGUAAACUGCUUUUAUACAGGGAUAAAACUGGGUACGCGUAUUCAGCUGUAAGUACCAUACGAAUAAGGAUCGGCUAACUCCGUGCCAGCAGCCGCGGUAAUACGGAGGAUCCAAGCGUUAUCCGGAUUUAUUGGGUUUAAAGGGAGCGUAGGUGGAUUGAUAAGUUAGUGGUGAAAGGUUUGGGCUUAACCCGGGAAUUGCCGCUGAAACUGGCGGUCUAGAGUACAGUAGAGGUGGGCGGAAUGCGUGGUGUAGCGGUGAAAUGCUUAGAGAUCACGAAGAACUCCGAUUGCGAAGGCAGCUCACUGAACUACAACUGACACUGAUGCACGAAAGUGUGGGGAGCAAACAGGAUUAGAUACCCGGGUAGUC